UACGUAGGGCGCAAGCGUUGUCCGGAAUUAUUGGGCGUAAAGAGCUCGUAGGUGGUGUGUCACGUCUGCCGUGAAAACCCGAGGCUUAACCUCGUGGCUUGCGGUGGAUACGGGCAGACUAGAGGCAGGUAGGGGAGAGUGGAAUUCCUGGUGUAGCGGUGAAAUGCGCAGAUAUCAGGAGGAACACCAGUGGCGAAGGCGGCUCUCUGGGCCUGACCUGACGCUGAGGAGCGAAAGCGUGGGGAGCAAACAGG
rnacentral:rRNA from 1 species